AGUCGAGCGGUAGCACAGAGAGCUUGCUCUCGGGUGACGAGCGGCGGACGGGUGAGUAAUGUCUGGGAAACUGCCUGAUGGAGGGGGAUAACUACUGGAAACGGUAGCUAAUACCGCAUAACGUCGCAAGACCAAAGUGGGGGACCUUCGGGCCUCAUGCCAUCAGAUGUGCCCAGAUGGGAUUAGCUAGUAGGUGGGGUAACGGCUCACCUAGGCGACGAUCCCUAGCUGGUCUGAGAGGAUGACCAGCCACACUGGAACUGAGACACGGUCCAGACUCCUACGGGAGGCAGCAGUGGGGAAUAUUGCACAAUGGGCGCAAGCCUGAUGCAGCCAUGCCGCGUGUGUGAAGAAGGCCUUCGGGUUGUAAAGCACUUUCAGCGGGGAGGAAGGCGUUAAGGUUAAUAACCUUGUCGAUUGACGUUACCCGCAGAAGAAGCACCGGCUAACUCCGUGCCAGCAGCCGCGGUAAUACGGAGGGUGCAAGCGUUAAUCGGAAUUACUGGGCGUAAAGCGCACGCAGGCGGUCUGUCAAGUCGGAUGUGAAAUCCCCGGGCUCAACCUGGGAACUGCAUUCGAAACUGGCAGGCUAGAGUCUUGUAGAGGGGGGUAGAAUUCCAGGUGUAGCGGUGAAAUGCGUAGAGAUCUGGAGGAAUACCGGUGGCGAAGGCGGCCCCCUGGACAAAGACUGACGCUCAGGUGCGAAAGCGUGGGGAGCAAACAGGAUUAGAUACCCUGGUAGUCCACGCCGUAAACGAUGUCGAUUUGGAGGUUGUGCCCUUGAGGCGUGGCUUCCGGAGCUAACGCGUUAAAUCGACCGCCUGGGGAGUACGGCCGCAAGGUUAAAACUCAAAUGAAUUGACGGGGGCCCGCACAAGCGGUGGAGCAUGUGGUUUAAUUCGAUGCAACGCGAAGAACCUUACCUGGUCUUGACAUCCACAGAACUUUCCAGAGAUGGAUUGGUGCCUUCGGGAACUGUGAGACAGGUGCUGCAUGGCUGUCGUCAGCUCGUGUUGUGAAAUGUUGGGUUAAGUCCCGCAACGAGCGCAACCCUUAUCCUUUGUUGCCAGCGGUUAGGCCGGGAACUCAAAGGAGACUGCCAGUGAUAAACUGGAGGAAGGUGGGGAUGACGUCAAGUCAUCAUGGCCCUUACGACCAGGGCUACACACGUGCUACAAUGGCAUAUACAAAGAGAAGCGACCUCGCGAGAGCAAGCGGACCUCAUAAAGUAUGUCGUAGUCCGGAUUGGAGUCUGCAACUCGACUCCAUGAAGUCGGAAUCGCUAGUAAUCGUAGAUCAGAAUGCUACGGUGAAUACGUUCCCGGGCCUUGUACACACCGCCCGUCACACCAUGGGAGUGGGUUGCAAAAGAAGUAGGUAGCUUAACCUUCGGGAGGGCGCUUACNAC
rnacentral:rRNA from 1 species